GCACGAGCUUCCACUCCCAACCCAUGUGACUUAUCUCUUUGUUGCCUCGGCGCAAGCUACCCGGGACCUCGCGCCCCGGGCGGCCCGCCGGCGGACAAACCAAAACUCUUGUUAUCUUAGUUGAUUAUCUGAGUGUCUUAUUUAAUAAGUCAAAACUUUCAACAACGGAUCUCUUGGUUCUGGCAUCGAUGAAGAACGCAGCGAAAUGCGAUAAGUAAUGUGAAUUGCAGAAUUCAGUGAAUCAUCGAAUCUUUGAACGCACAUUGCGCCCAUUAGUAUUCUAGUGGGCAUGCCUGUUCGAGCGUCAUUUCAACCCCUAAGCACAGCUUAUUGUUGGGAACCUACGGCUUCGUAGUUCCUCAAAGACAUUGGCGGAGUGGCAGUGGUCCUCUGAGCGUAGUAAUCUUUUAUCUCGCUUCUGUUAGGUGCUGCCCCCCCGGCCGUAAAACCCCCAAUUUUUUCUGGUUGACCUCGGAUCAGGUAGGAAUACCCGCUGAACUUAAGCAUAUCAAUAAGCGGAGGAA
rnacentral:rRNA from 1 species